rfam:Oryza meridionalis cultivar OR44 (W2112) chromosome 3, whole genome shotgun sequence.
AAAGACUCAAUUUCUAGGUUUUCGUGUCCAACGUUUGAUCGUCUAUCUUAUUUAAAAUUUUUUUAAAAAAAUAAGCCACACAUAAAAUAUUAUUCAUGUUUUAUUAUCUAACAAUAAUAAAAAUACUAAUCAUAAAAAAAAUUCAUAUAAGACAGACAGUCAAACAUUAUGUCAGGGUUACGGAUAAG